rnacentral:misc_RNA from 1 species
UGCGCAAAGGUAGCAUUACC